CGUGCGCGGGAUCGACACGACGGUGCCGUCGGUGCUGAUCGAGAAUGCGCCCGGAUCCGGAGACACGCCGGUGGAAGGCUCGGGCGCGGCGGUGCGGUGUGCCCUCGGGCUUGCGGCCGGUACGCCGUUGAUUCUCUACACGGGAACGUUCGAGGCCUACCAGGGGCUCGACCUGUUGUUC
rnacentral:misc_RNA from 1 species